AGAAGAGUCAAAAGGUAAUUACUAAUGCUUCAGAAUUCAGGUGGUGUCAACAUAAAUUAGACAAAGGUAUUUAGGAGAAAGUGAAAGGGUAUCAAUGUAUUUCAAUAGAAAUAGUGAUGGGGGUGUGGUCCUGUGCUAGUUGUGACAAGCUGUUUGGGAUGCGAACUCUUGGGGUCCCGCACCCAACUAAGCUUUACAUGUCUUGUCCCCACACCCACCCCCAGAAACAGCCUUCAUUUGCCGCUUUCGUUAUAAAUGAGAGCGCAAAGAGAUCGCAAGAACUGCAGAAGAGUUUCCCUUAUUCCCCAUUAUCACACACAUCUCUCUCUCCCCCCUACUCUACCUUUCCCUCCCUGUCUCUGAGAGAUAGCUGCUGGCUGUGGCAUGAGAAAGGCGAGUGUUGAGCAAGAUGGAGAAGCAGGGCACGUGCAUUACUAGCUCAUGCACCACAAACCAAUAAUCUUUUGCUCGACACCAGGAAGACUGUUCUCCCCAAUUAUCACGGAGAUAUCAAGGAAGCAGUUAACCUUCCUAGUUAGCUUCAUUUCCAGGUAAGUCGUGGUUUAUCAUCAACUUGUUGGAAGUGAAAUUGCCUAUCAUUUUCUUGGUGGAGAUAUCGUAUCUUUUAAUGUAAAGUCAGAAUCCAAGUCAUGUCCAUGAUAAUACAUGAUAAUCACAAGCAUAGUUAUCAAGGAAUAUGUUGGGAUAAUUGAAAGGAUAACGAUCAAUAACAAGAAAAGAUGCCAAUGCAUCAUUUAUUGGGAUUUAUCGUAACAAUGUCAAGGUAGAGGGUCAUAGACCUGAAUUACCAGAUUACUGUCACAAUUAGACCACGUAAACUCGUAAAUAGAUGAGGUGUACUUCCGUAGGCAGACCAUAGAGUAAAAUCUUGCCGGAAAGUUUGAAUCCGCACUGGUCUACAUCUUUUUUUUUUCUUUUCUUUUCUUUUUUGGCUUAAAAGGUAUUCGAAUCCAAAUUCUUCCUUCCUAUUGCCCUUCUCACACGCAUCCAUACACACAACAAAAUGGUUCUUCUAAACCUGAAUUUGUAUCCUGCCAGUAGAAAUAGUACAAAUUUAAUCAGAAUUAGGGCUUCUGAUUAAUAUCAUAAGUAACAAGGCUUCUUCAUCUUCUCUCCCUCUUUUCUUUUUUUCCUUUCCUUUCCUUCUUCUUCCUCUCUCACUCUCUCUCUCUCUCUUCUGUUGGAGGUGAGUGGUGUCUUGGAGAGGGAGGAGAAAGAAGCAUAAGAACAAUGGUUGAUACAGUGAUAGGGUUGCCUGAUCAAGCUGACAAAAGAAUUAAAGAAAAAAUUCAUAGGCAGAUGUAAUUUAUUGUGUAAAUUCCUUUUUUGGUUAGUGGAGUUUUGGUUUAUUUUUAGAGUGUUCCCUUUUUCCUGCAUUUGUAAUCCUCUUGUUUUUCAGUAUUCAGAAGUCAUGUUUUGCCACCCUCCAUUACGUUCUUUCAUUAAUUGAUUUAUCAAUUUAAGACUUCUAAUUUACAAACAGGUAUUUGCAUAACAUUGUUUGUAUUUCCCAUAAUUGUUUCAUUUAGGAAAAAUCUUAGAAACAUAAGCCAUAAUAUACAAAAAUGAAACAAAUAUGGGAAACCUUUGUGCAAAGGGGUUCUUACUUCUUAGAUAAUAGUUCCAGAGAAAGGGGCAGCAUCUGAAUCAAGAAAACCAUAUAAGAAUAAACAUUUGUCAUUAAAAGACUUGAGGGAUUGUUGGAUGAGACAUUUAGUGAUGAAGACUAGAAGUUUUUUAUACUGUUUUUUUCUAAAUUAAAGUCCAAACCUCUCAUUUCAAGUCUUAACAUGACUGACCAUUCUACCUUCUCGACAACUCGAAAAUUCUAAUACCAAAUUUCUAACGCCAUCAAAUGCUACCUAACUUUCAACCAUGAUACAAGAAUUUAGUAUUUUAUAAUAAGAAGCUUCAUGAAAAAAAUCUCUGGUACUAAAACACUUGUCGGUGCUCCAGGCAGGUUUCCUCUUUAAUUUAUUCUUUGAUCAGUAGGGUCAUGGUUUUAAAUGUUUGACAGUCACAGUUUGGAGUUUGGGGAAGAAUGAAUGUCAUCUAAAUUUUGCUGUUGCGUCCAAGAAAUAAUGGACCCAGAAGAAGCACCAAAUUUCAAGGAAACGAGGAGGAACAAAUAAAGAGGAGGAACAAAUAAAAGGGAGAAAAGGGUUUUUCUCUCAGCUGGGUUUAGUUAGCCAACAUGUAUGGUGGAGAAGAUAGUUACAUUUGUGAGGCCUGGAAUUAUUAGAGAGGUGAUAGAGGAGAAGUGACGUAUCUUUUUCUAGAUAGAACUAUAUGCAUAUGGUAUAGAUGUGAGCUACGAGACAUAUUUAACACACGAGUUCCAUAAAAACUGGUGACUGUUAUUGUGAAUAGGAAACUGGGUACCACCAUCGAGGAGACAGUCAAUAGUGCCACCCUAUGUCUCUAUUCUAUCUUUGGCUCUUAGUUCUUCUCCAUGCUAAAGUCACAGCGAUGAGCUCUACUUCUAAUCCAAGUGUAAUUUCUCAUUUACCCAUAAGAUGGAUGUCUUAACACGUGGCUGGGAACAAUUUCUCCCUCCAAUGGCCAAUGAAAGUUGAAUAAGUUUCUUAUGUUUUCCAAGAUGUGGCAGUUGAUUGUAUGCGAUUUAUCUCUUUUUA